rnacentral:lncRNA from 1 species
GCGCCCCUCCCCCAGCCUCGCUGCCGCCUUGCAGUUUGAUCUCAGACUGCUGUGCUAGCAGUCAGCGAGACUCUGUGGGCUAGGACCCUCCGAGCCAGGUGCGGGAUAUAAUCUCGUGGUGCGCCGUUUUUUAAGCCCGUCAGAAAAGCACAGUAUUCGGGUGGGAGUGACCCGAUUUUCCUGGUGCCCUCCGUCACCCCUUUCUUUGACUAGGAAAGGGAACUCCCUGACCCCUUGCACUUCCUGAGUGAGGCAAUGCCUCACCUUGCUUCGGCUCGCCCACGGUGCGCACACCCACUGACCUGCGCCCACUGUCUGGCACUCCCUGGUGAGAUGAACCUGGUACCUCAGAUGGAAAUGCAGAAAUCACCCGUCUUCUGCGUCACUCACGCUGGGAGCUGUAGACCGGAGCUGUUCCUAUUCGGCCAUCUUGGCUCCUCCCCGUCUUUCUACUAUUUUUUGACUUAAAGAUUGUUUUAUGAAACAGCUGGAGAUGAAGCAUGGCUGUCAUUGCAUUUCUCUUACUGUGAUUGUUCAGAAUGCUCCGACAGAGCUACCAAGGAGGAGGAAUGGCACAACAUGAUGACAAGAUUAAUUAGCAUCUGCAAGACUGGACAUGGCUCCCCAAGGGAUUCUUCCCAUGCUCUGCCAUGGCUGCCUCUGGUACCCUCCCCCUGCCUUGAGAUGUCACCUCUGAUGUGUCUGGGUCCCCAGCUGGCUUACAAGCUCUUGUGACAUCAGUGGCACAUUUUGUGGCACUGCAUUUAGAAAACUGUAAAGCUGGUAUAUGCACUAGAGAUCUGUCCUUCAUUUUCUUCAUUUUGUAUUUAAUGCUGUCCUAACUCCACAAAAUAGAGACCUGGAAAUGUCAACAAUUGGAUAUAGUAUAAGAAUUUUAAAAGUAGAUUUUAAAAGCACAAAGGCAAAUUUAAGUUCAAUAUUAUGGAUAAUGCAGUAUUCUGUAUUUAGUAGCAAUGAGAUCUUUCAGACCUUUCUUUAUUUUGAAAUAUAUUAUCUUCUAAGGAGUGUAAGAAAGAUAGCCUCUGUCUAAACCAGGGGCAUGAAAAUUACAUCCUCUAGGAAUUUGAGGAAACAUUGCAGAGGGCAUUUGACUGCCUGGAGUCUGUCGGAAAGAUAAGGCUUUAUAUGCUUCAGUAAUAUCCUAGAGCAAAAUAACAGCCACUGUUGAGCACUGAUUUAUGUAACACCCCAGUGUACCGGGCACUAUUGUAUAUGAUACCCCAGCGAAAUAGAUAUUAUUACCAUCUUCGUUCCCAGGAUUAUAAAGUUGAGAACAAGAACAGUGGGGUAACUCGUCCAGUGUCAAUUAUCUAGUGCAUGUUUAAGCUUGCAUAAAGCCCAGAUAUAUUUGACUCCCAUCUGUAGUCAUGGCCACUGUCCCUGUUGCUCUUGAAUAAAAGAUUGAGGGAUCUGUCUUAACCUGUUCACACUGCAUAACAAAAUCUAUAAACUGAGUGGGUGGCUCAUAAACAACAGAGAUUUCUUUCUCACAUUUCUGAAGGCUGGCAAGUCUAAGAUCAAGACAGAUUUGCUGUCUGGAGAGAGACCACUUUCUGGCGUAUAGAUGGCAUCUUCUUGCUGUGUCCUCCCGUGGUAGAGGGGGCGAGGGUCUCUCUGGGGUCUCUUUUUAUUUUUUUAUUUUUAUUUAUUAAUUUUUUUUUGAGACGGAGUCUCGCACUGUCGACCUGGCGGGAGUGCAAUGGCAUGAUCUUGGCUCACUGCAACCUCCGCCGCCCAGGUUCAAGCAAUUCUCCUGCCUCAGCUUCCCCAGUAGCUGGGAUUACAAGUGCACACCACCACGUCCGGCUAAUUUUUUGUAUUUUUAGUAGAGACAGGGUUUCACUAUGUUGGCCACCCUGGUCUCGAACUCCUGACCUCGUGAUCCACCUGCCUUGGCCUCCCAAAGUGCUGGGAUUACAGGCAUGAGCCACCGUGCCCAGCCUGGGGUCUCUUUUAUAAGGACACUCAUCCCAUUAGUGCCAUUAGCUCUGCCCUCAUGAUCUGGUUGCCUCUAAAAGGCCCCGCCUCCUAAUACCAUCACCUUGGGGCAUCGGAUUUCAACACAUGAGUUUUGUGGAGCACAAACAUUCAGAACAUAGCAGGAUCCAAUGAUUAAUUCAUUUUGUGAAUUGUUACUUGCAGUCCUAUAACUAUGCCACAGUGUUACCUUAGAACGUUAAUUAAAUGUGAACUGCUCUUCCAGGCCAACGAUAGUACAAAAUCUACAACAAUUUUUAGUUUCAAGUAUUUUACCUGACACACUGAAACUUUUCCAAAGCAUGAAAACAUAUUUUUUAAAUGUUCUUCAAAUUGAGUGGAUUUCAUCUUUCUCCAGUCACCUACUUAGAACUGAAAUACUCAUGUUUGUUGGGGAGUACAGCCUCAGCUUUCAACUCAUGAGAUCCAAAGAGACAGUGGAACCAAGUAGCUCUCUUUUUUUCUUUUUUUGUAG